GAUGAACGCUGGCGGCGUGCCUAACACAUGCAAGUCGAGCGGCAGCGAGGGGUGCUUGCACCCUGUCGGCGAGCGGCGGACGGCUGAGUAACGCGUGGGAACGUGCCCCAAAGUGAGGAAUAACUGCCCGAAAGGGUAGCUAAUACCGCAUAUUAUCUUCGGAUCAAAGGAUUUAUCCGCUUUGGGAGCGGCUCGCGUCGGAUUAGGUAGUUGGUGAGGUAAUGGCUCACCAAGCCGACGAUCCGUAGCUGGUCUGAGAGGAUGACCAGCCAGACUGGAAAUGGGACACGGUCCCGGCUCCUACGGGAGGGAGGAGGGAGGGAUCCUCCAAAAGGGGCGGAAGGCUGAUGGGGCAACGGCGGGUGGAAGACGAAGGGCUUCGGGUUGGAAACUGCUUUUAAAAGUGAGGAAUAUGACGGGAACUUAUGAAUAAGGAUCGGCUAACUACGUG
rnacentral:rRNA from 1 species